UGGCUCACUGGUAGAGCGCUUGCCUUGCAUGCAUGAGGCCCUGAGUUCGAUUCCUCAG
rnacentral:tRNA from 1 species